UAAAGAUUCCACGCAUGUGCUGUUCGAAAAAACGAACUGCUCAUGCGCCAUUUUCAGAAGGAAAUGUAAACUGGCUGAAAAUUGGCCUGUAAAAUUCCCCUUAGACAGUAAAGUUUCACCCAAGACAAACUAACCACAGGUUUUAUUUGUUCUGUGAGAGAAAUUAAGACAACCGUUCAGGAUUAAUGCUUCUGUUUGAACACAAGGUGGCAGCACUGUGAUGGGAGAAAACAGCUCAAGUGGUGGAAAAUAACCAGGUUUGUGGGACGUUUCCGCCUGGGCCUCACCUGCUCCUGGCCCAGCUGAACUGCAGUCUGCUUGAUGAUGUUCUCCUUCUCCAGCAGCUCCUUCUGCUGACGCUCAAAGUCCUCUUUACCCUUCGGAUGGAGACAGGAUUCAUCGGCCGCACAUUGAGAAUCGUAGAGUGAUGAUGUCACCAACAAACGGAGAAAAACCCUUUCUUACUUAGGUGAGAGGGGCCUGGAAGGGGCGGGGCUACACCUGGAUCCCGGCGCCUGUGUGUGGCGGUGAGCGACUCGAGGUUGUUUCAGCAGCACCUUGUUUGCUUUGGGUCGUCAGGGUCGAGUUCAGGCAGGUCCAGUUUUUCAGUCGUAAUUCAAACACAUUUAAACGUUACAUGACAUCAGCGAUGACAUCAUGUUUUCGCUUUAAGCCACAGAGCCACAUUCAAACGCUCCAACUGAUAUAAAAGACUUCAUUCAAGGCUGAAGUGCAGACAGGAUGUUGAGUUCAUCCUCCAUUACUCAUAAUGUCGACAAGAAGGGAAGAAAUCUUUUCUUCUGUCAUCAGAAAAUUAAACCAAAGAAAUUUAUAUACCAGCAAAAACUUAAAUUAUGCUGCUGUAAUUAUCGAGUCAUCUGGUUCCAGAUGGAAUAAAGGAAAAAACUGAUGAAUUCAGCAUUUCUGUAAACUGAGUUUCUGAUUGAAUGGUUUAUGCUCAGACUUGAUGUUGAUCUGAUUAUCUCACACUAGUUACUACCUGACUGAAGCUCUUAGGCUUUUUCCUCUUUUUGCAGCUAAUUAACGUAAACAACUCUGAGGUUUUCCAUGUUUUCAAUCUCAGUUUUUACAACCUAUUGAUACUUUUGGUGUCUGAAAUCCUUGGAAUGAGAAGCACUGCUGGUCAGCUGGCUGCUACAUUUUUCCAUCAUUAGCAAAAAUACGUAAUUUUAAACAUUCAAAAAUGUUUCCACUUGCAAAAAACUCACAAGAGUCGAGGUACGUAAACCAAAGGAGCAACAUUAUUAAAGUAAGGCUGUUGAACUGUAGUAGAGAACUCUGGCUACUGGAGCAGAUAGCCUGACUAAAAAACAGCAAAAAUCAGUUUUUGCUGAUUUUAGCAAAAAAAAUCAAAGGAAACUGUGUUUCCUUUAAACACAGUUAAAGGAAACUCCUUAGUUUCAAUUUAUUCUGUAUUUUUCUCAAAUCCAUUAAAAUUCACAGUGAUAAAACUUAAAAACAUUAUUUCUUAAGUUUUAAAAAAUAUUUUAGCAGCUCUAACUAGUGUAAUAUGAAGAGUUUGAUGAUUUUUUGCGGUUUGUUUUAAAAGUGUUGGUGUAGAUAAAAUCUCCUCCAGCUACACUGUGAGGUUCGUUUCUGCCAAACAGCAGAACUGUGAACACAGACAGAAAGAAAAGGGCGAGUCCGGCGCCUUUUUUCUGGCUGUGGUUGAUUUUUAUCGCCUCCAUUUGUGUUUCUCACCGUUUCAUUGCUUUUGUUCUCAAUCAUCUCUUCCCUCCUGCUAAUGGCCUGCAGACACAAAUCGUGCAGCCGUCCUCCUCUGUGGCCUUCAGCUAGCCUUCCAUGGAUCUGGAAGGCUAGCAGCGUGCAGCAGGAAGGCUAGCAGCGUGCAGCAGGAAGGCUAGCAGCGUGCAGCAGGAAGGCUAGCAGCGUGCAGCAGGAAGGCUAGCAGCGUGCAGCAGGAAG